rnacentral:lncRNA from 1 species
UUUUAAUUUAUUUGUUCCUACAAUAGAGGAAACAAAACACAUUAAAAUCUUUUGCUUAAUGUAUUGAUUUUGUAUUUUAAAUGCAAAAUAGAAAACGUAAAAAUUAAUUGAAAUGGAAAAAAGAAGAAUGCAGAAACUGGAGCCAACCAUCUAUUUUACAUAAGCUUUGUGUAAAAGAAAGUGAAGACUAAGAAUCCAUCUGGAGAUGCUAAAGAAAGACCAAUUUUUUAGCAGCUGUAAGAGAAACUUUGCUUCAAAUGAGAGAGUCCCUUCAAAAUGGUCACCUUGGAAAGUGUGAGCCCUGCAGAAGUGUUAUGGAUGACUGCAAGAGCUGCUAGUGGAGGUCUGUAACAUGGAAGAUGCUCUUCCUUUGAUCUGAGCCUUGAGGAUAACUGAUGCUCAGGGACAAUGCUUUUACCUCCUGAAGAGCAUCCUCAGAGUCUGGUCCACAGUCCACGGAGUGAGGUUGAGGACCCAAAAAGGUAGCCUCAUUCUUGAUUUUGGCUGUCAAGAGGAUUUUAAAAACUGAGGUUGAAAAGGAGUUGGUAAUUGGCUCAGGAGUUCAUGGACGCAAACCCUUGACUGGAGCCCAUGAUGUCACCUGGAGAGAGAGACAAUUCUGAGGAUUGUCAUCCCUGGUUCACAGCUAAGGAGACCAAAGCUCAGUUAAUUUAAGUAACUUUUCCACAGCAAAACAGCAUGAAAGCCUAGAGCACUGGCUGUAGCAUCAGGUUCCUGAGGAUGAAUCUUGAAAUGCCUUCUAGACUGUACAAACUAAGAAGGUGUAAUGUAGCAGGAUAAAUUCAUUCUAAAUACAACAACAUGUGAAUCAACAAGCUUUAUUGGGCACCACUUCUGGUCGGCGUGCAAUACAAGGUAUGUAUAAAGCACCUCAGAUUAAGGUAAAAUCAGCACAUGGAACCAAUCAUUUCUGGGAUGGGCUUCAAAGCAAGGCUCUGGCACUCAGACCUCAGCAAAGUGUAAAAUGUCUCUGUAAG